rnacentral:lncRNA from 1 species
AAGAAACUCCAUCAAGCAUCAUUAUCCAUCUAGGCAACAUCUAGGCAACUGUGGUUAUUCAUGCUUUUUAUGUCUCCAGUCUCUUAGACUGUACUUCCCACUCAUUACCAUUGCAAGUUUCUGCUAUAUCUGCUUUCCUUAGACGUCUGAGGCAUAUACAUCAUAGCUACAUGAAUAGCAUGAAUAAUGUUCCCCCAUUAUGAGGACAGGGGGCCUGCAGCUAUUGGCUGGUAAUGCUCUGGGAGCCCAUGGUAGCACAGAAGGACUGAACUUUCCAAAGUAGCCUGAAAACUUGGUCUUGCCAUUUGGUGCACCCAGCAGUCUUCUGAUGGAGAAGGCUUCCAGGAUGAGGACUGAGUGGAGAAGACCAUGUGUUAAUGUAUUCUAAAUAUGAAGGUACAUGCCUCUGGGAAAGCAGAGACCAUGAAUGAAAGGAAUAACUUGGCCUACAGCUUAGCAACUGCCACCAUCAUUAACUGCAAGAAUUAGGUCUUGCCUCAUUAACUGCUGAUUGAAGCUCUGCUUGGCCCUCUGGGAUACCUAACACCCCAGGCCUAUCACCAGAUGAACCCCUGGUUAGGCGCUUUUGCCUUCGCCUGUGUUGCUUUGCACAGCUCCUUGACCUCAACCUUCUUACGAAUGUUUAUCCUUCUACCAGACAAAGUACUCAGAUAUCCAUGAAGUCCCCCUCAUCUCACACUAUCGUUUCUCUCACCGGGUGCAAUCCGACUUUAAAGAAUUCAACACAUACUGGUCUUUAGAGAACUGUCAGCAAUGACAGCAACCAGGGACGCUGACAUGUCUUAUUGUUUACAAAGGAUGAGCACAACAAGGCCUCUCGGAUG